AUUGCUAAGUGAAUUAAAUAUUGCGGGCCAUUUAUUGGAAAUAUUUGAUGAGUGUGGAGUUGAUUUGACAGAUUUGUUGACGAUUACGGCGGAUCAAAUCCGCACAUCGUUGGAACCCACACAAAUCAUGUUUUUUACAGGAAUCAAAAAUCAACGAUUUAGUAGCCAAGCUGCAACCGGGCUACCGUUUGCGCCUUACGGGGAAUGUUGUUUACGACGGAACUUCCCUUGGGUCUAACAAAACCUCAGCAGGAACGAGCACCAGCAGCGAUGCGGCCAACCAAGCCUCUUCCAAUAGCAACUCGGGACCAAUUGCGGCGAGUUCCGUAAUAAUACCAUCGGCAGGUGAUACGACGGCUACCAGUGCAGUUGAUCAGGUCACGUCGGUGGAAAUCGGAGAGCAUCAGUGUAAACGCGAAGAGCAAACCCAAGAAGAACCGGCUAACCAGGGAUUCACCGGAGAGGCAAAUAUUUUCCCGUUAUUUGCUGAAUUCACCGAGACCACCAACAGUUCCAUUCUGGCAGAUAGUCAAACCCACCAGAUUCAAGCUACCGGGAGGUUGAAUGAUAUAGCUCUGUUCAUUCAACCUUAUUCAA